rnacentral:rRNA from 1 species
UGGGGAAUUUUGGACAAUGGGCGAAAGCCUGAUCCAGCAAUGCCGUGUGUGUGAAGAAGGCCUUCGGGUUGUAAAGCACUUUUGUCCGGAAAGAAAUCCUUGGCUCUAAUACAGUCGGGGGAUGACGGUACCGGAAGAAUAAGCACCGGCUAACUACGUGCCAGCAGCCGCGGUAAUACGUAGGGUGCAAGCGUUAAUCGGAAUUACUGGGCGUAAAGCGUGCGCAGGCGGUUUGCUAAGACCGAUGUGAAAUCCCCGGGCUCAACCUGGGAACUGCAUUGGUGACUGGCAGGCUAGAGUAUGGCAGAGGGGGGUAGAAUUCCACGUGUAGCAGUGAAAUGCGUAGAGAUGUGGGGGAAUACCGAUGGCGAAGGCAGCCCCCUGGGCCAAUACUGACGCUCAUGCACGAAAGCGUGGGGAGCAAAACAGGAUUAGAUACCCUGGUAGUCCACGCCCUAAACGAUGUCAACUAGUUGUUGGGGAUUCAUUUCCUUAGUAACGUAGCUAACGCGUGAAGUUGACCGCCUGGGGAGUACGGUCGCAAGAUUAAAACUUAAAUGAAUUGACGGGGUCAUAGCUGUUUCCU